GUCCCAAGGUCAAGAAGCUCUCUCUGGACUGCAUUCUUUGUGGAGUGGAGACCGGCUCCCUAAACAGAAAGGAGGAGUUAAUGGAUGUUGGGUGCCAAUGGAGAGCCUGCUGCAGAAGCUCUGGGAUGACGCCUCUGAAAAAAAAUGGCAUUUAAACUUAAGAUGAGUGAGGGUCAGCAAGGAGCAAGGAGGAUGUACCUUCAGGCAGAGAGAGCCACGUGUGUGGCCUGUCUGUGCCCCGGGUUACAAGAUGUUCGUGCCAUUUCUCAUUUACUGCAUUGACCCCAAAAGGGAUCAGCGGAGAGGGAUGUGGCACGCGAGAAGCCACUGUCCCCUGGGAAAGAAGGGAGAAUGGUGCUCUCAACGCUGGGCCUGAAGGAUUGUGUGAGACACAGCGGUCUCAGCAGUCCCGCCUGCCGUCCCCAUGGUUGUAAAGCCCAGGUGAACUCUGUCAGCAACCUCAGCCUCCUCUGGAGGGAGGACCAGCGCACACGGCCUCCGUGACACCCACUGUAGAGGGAGCUUCAGUGGUUGCAGCUCCCAGGUCCGACCUGACUGGACCCACAGAGCUCUGGCUUCCCUCGCUGCUUCCUGGGGGGCCUGAAACACAUCCUAGAGAGACAGUGGCGCUAAUGUCCUAUGGAAGUGCCUCUGACCAUUGAGAGCCAGGAGCCAGGAGCCAGGAAGAAGCCAGCAGAUGAUUGCUCUCCCUUCCUGCCCACCCAGGAGCUGUUCCGAGAUCCAAGGAUAACAGGCCUUAAUUAAGAAGUAGCGCGUGAGCUUGGCCUCAGGCUGCUUUCUGGAGAACCCAGGCGACGGUGAGACCUUCUGACCCUUUACCUUCCAUCCUUCAGUCUGCUGCGCGCUGUUACUUCGCUUCAGGUUCCUGGGGAAGCAGUGCGGCCUCAGCGAGGGAGGAGUUUCAGGAGGGUGAGGACGGUGUUGUUACAUAGAUGAAAUGUUUCAGGAAGAAGUCCU
rnacentral:lncRNA from 1 species